rnacentral:rRNA from 1 species
GACGAACUGCCCAAACGUUGUUCGGAAUCACUGGGCUUAAAGGGCGCGUAGGCGGCUUACCAAGUCAGGGGUGAAAUCCGGCAGCUUAACUGUCGAAGUGCCUUUGAUACUGGUGAGCUCGAGGGAGGUAGGGGUCCGUGGAACUUCCGGUGGAGCGGUGAAAUGCGUUGAUAUCGGAAGGAACGCCGGUGGCGAAAGCGACGGACUGGAUCUCUUCUGACGCUGAGGCGCGAAAGCUAGGGGAGCAAACGGGG